AUUUAUAAUGCAAUCCAAUGUUCUUCACCAAGAUUCUUAUUUUUUUAAAAAAUAUUUUUUUUAUAAAAAAAUCUUGCAAAUAGAAAUAGUUAUUAGCCUCUCCCAUAAAUAUAAGAAAAGAUUAAAAAAAGGGAGAAAUUCUCCUUUUGUAUUGUGUCAACUGACUCUUACUUGAUGUGUUAAUUGAUUAACGUUAUGAAUUUUUAAAA
rnacentral:misc_RNA from 1 species